GGAAUCUUCCGCAAUGGGCGAAAGCCUGACGGAGCAACGCCGCGUGUGGGAUGACGCCUUUCGGGGUGUAAACCACUUUUCUCAGGGAAGAAGCACUGACGGUACCUGAGGAAGAAGGACCGGCUAACUACGUGCCAGCAGCCGCGGUAAUACGUAGGGUCCGAGCGUUGUCCGGAGUUACUGGGCGUAAAGCGCGCGCAGGCGGCGGUGUAAGCAUGGCGUGAAAGCCCCAGGCUCAACCUGGGAGGGUCGUCGUGGACUGCACCGCUUGAGGGCGGUAGGGGCUGGUGGAAUGCCUGGCGUAGUGGUGAAAUGCGUAGAGAUCAGGCGGAACACCCGUGGCGAAGGCGGCCAGCUGGGCCGUCCCUGACGCUGAGGCGCGAAGGCGUGGGGAGCGAA
rnacentral:rRNA from 1 species